UGGGGAAUAUUGCACAAUGGAGGGAACUCUGAUGCAGCGACGCCGCGUGGGUGAUGAAGGAAUUCGUUUCGUAAAACUCUGUUCUAUGGGAAGAAAAGGACUGUACCAUAGGAGAAAGCUCCGGCUAAAUACGUGCCAGCAGCCGCGGUAAUACGUAUGGAGCGAGCGUUGUCCGGAAUUAUUGGGCGUAAAGGGUGCGCAGGCGGCUUUACAAGUUGGAUGUGAAAUAUUGUGGCUCAACCACAAACGUGCAUCCAAAACUGCAAAGCUUGAGUUAAGGAGAGGUAAGUGGAAUUCCUGGUGUAGCGGUGGAAUGCGUAGAUAUCAGGAGGAAUACCGGUGGCGAAGGCGACUUACUGGACUUAAACUGACGCUCAGGCACGAAAGCGUGGGGAGCAAACAGG
rnacentral:rRNA from 1 species